GAUGAACGCUGGCGGCGUGCCUUAUACAUGCAAGUCGAGCGAAUGGAUUAAGAGCUUGCUCUUAUGAAGUUAGCGGCGGACGGGUGAGUAACACGUGGGUAACCUGCCCAUAAGACUGGGAUAACUCCGGGAAACCGGGGCUAAUACCGGAUAACAUUUUGAACCGCAUGGUUCGAAAUUGAAAGGCGGCUUCGGCUGUCACUUAUGGAUGGACCCGCGUCGCAUUAGCUAGUUGGUGAGGUAACGGCUCACCAAGGCAACGAUGCGUAGCCGGCCUGCGAGGGUGAUCGGCCACCCUGGGACUGAGACACGGCCCAGACUCCUACGGGAGGCAGCAGUAGGGAAUCUUCCGCAAUGGACGAAAGUCUGACGGAGCAACGCCGCGUGAGUGAUGAAGGCUUUCGGGUCGUAAAACUCUGUUGUUAGGGAAGAACAAGUGCUAGUUGAAUAAGCUGGCACCUUGACGGUACCUAACCAGAAAGCCACGGCUAACUACGUGCCAGCCGCCGCGGUAA
rnacentral:rRNA from 1 species